ensembl:processed_transcript Gm45019 predicted gene 45019
ACGCGACGGGCAAAAGAGUGGCAACUCUGAACCCGGAGAGAUGUAGCGGACAUCGGACAACACCAGAUCCAGCCUUGUCUUUGAGCACGUGUUCUAACCAGAUAGGCCUUUCUAGACUAUACCGCUUGUAACUUGCUUUACAAGUUCCAUAAGGAUCGCUACCCAUUAUCUCAUCGGAUUAGUGGUUAUGAUGGCGAUUGCGGUUGAUGUCACUGGAAGAAUGACCACUAUCCGGAAGGUUCCCACUCAUGGCCCAGCAGGGGGAGCUCUCUUUCUAAGGAGCCACUCUGCACUACCCGGGGAGCCUGGCUUUGCCUUAAAGAAUCCAAGGUCCUUCGCUGGAUAACUGUACGGCAUCCGAUCCCUUGCCAAGGUUGAAAUGUAAGCUCUCGAAUGUUGCUCCAGCACCAUGCUGCCUGCUGCCAUGCUCCCCACCAUGACGGUGAUAGACUCUUAUCUCUUUGGAACCUAAGCCCAAGUAAACCCUUCCUUCUA